UACCCUGUUAUUUAAAAUGUAAUUGAUUUAUUAAGGUAGUAAUAGUUAUGUUCUUGAAACUUAAAAAAUUUGGCGGUAUUUUAGUCUAUUCAGAGGAACCUGUUCUGUAAUCGAUAAUCCACGUUGGACCUUACUUAAAUUUGUUUUUCAAUUUAUAUACCGUUGUUAUUAAAAUAUUUUUUAAAAACAAUAAUAUUUAAUAAUUUUAAUAAAAAUUUAUAUCAAAUCAAGGUGUAGUUUAUAUUUAAGUAGAAAUGGGUUACAAUAAAUUUAUUUUUGGAUAUAAAUAUGAAAAAUUUUUGUUGAAAUUGGAUUUGAUAGUAAAAUUAUAAAGAUUAAUAAUUUGAUUUUAGCUCUAAAAUAUGUACAAAUCGCCCGUCACUCUCUGA
rnacentral:rRNA from 1 species